rnacentral:rRNA from 1 species
UAAUACGGAGGGUCCGAGCGUUAAUCGGAAUUACUGGGCGUAAAGCGUACGUAGGUGGCUUGAUUAGUCGGAUGUGAAAGCCCUGGGCUCAACCUGGGAACUGCAUUCGAUACUGUCAGGCUAGAGUAUAGUAGAGGCAAGUGGAAUUCCGGGUGUAGCGGUGAAAUGCGUAGAUAUCCGGAGGAACACCAGUGGCGAAGGCGGCUUGCUGGACUAAUACUGACACUGAGGUACGAAAGCGUGGGGAGCAAACAGGAUUAGAUACCCUGGUAGUCCACGCAGUAAACGGUGAACACUAGGUGUAGCGGGUAUUGACCCCUGCUGUGCCGCAGCAAACGCAUUAAGUGUUCCGCCUGGGGAGUACGGCCGCAAGGUUA